rnacentral:rRNA from 1 species
ACUCCUACGGGAGGCAGCAGUGGGGAAUCUUGCGCAAUGGGCGAAAGCCUGACGCAGCCAUGCCGCGUGAAUGAUGAAGGUCUUAGGAUUGUAAAAUUCUUUCACCGGGGACGAUAAUGACGGUACCCGGAGAAGAAGCCCCGGCUAACUUCGUGCCAGCAGCCGCGGUAAUACGAAGGGGGCUAGCGUUGCUCGGAAUUACUGGGGCGUAAAGGGAGCGUAGGCGGACAUUUAAGUCAGGGGUGAAAUCCCGGGGCUCAACCUCGGAAUUGCCUUUGAUACUGGGGUGUCUUGAGUAUGAGAGAGGUGUGUGGAACUCCGAGUGUAGAGGUGAAAUUCGUAGAUAUUCGGAAGAACACCAGUGGCGAAGGCGACACACUGGCUCAUUACUGACGCUGAGGCUCGAAAGCGUGGGGAGCAAACAGGAUUAGAUACCCUGGUAGGAUAGCG